UACGUAGGGGGCAAGCGUUGUCCGGAUUUAUUGGGCGUAAAGAGCGUGUAGGCGGCCAGGUAGGUCUGCUGUGAAAACUCGAGGCUCAACCUCGAGAUGUCGGCGGAAACCAUCUGGCUAGAGUCCGGAAGAGGAAAGUGGAAUUCCUGGUGUAGCGGUGAAAUGCGCAGAUAUCAGGAGGAACACCGGUGGCGAAGGCGGGUCUCUGGACAGUUCCUGACGCUGAGGCACGAAGGCCAGGGGAGCAAACGGG
rnacentral:rRNA from 1 species